rnacentral:tRNA from 1 species
GUAUAGAUAGCUCAGUUGGGCGAACGUUUGCCUCACAAGUAUGAAGCCCUGGGUUUGAUCCCCAGCACUGCACA